rnacentral:rRNA from 1 species
AAUAGAUACCCGGGUAGUCCUAGCCGUAAACGAUGAGCACUGGGUUGAAGGGUCCUCCAUAGCCUUUCAGCCGUAGCGAAAGUGUUAAGUGCUCCGCCUGGGGAGUAUGGUCGCAAGGCUGAAACUCGAAAGAAAUUGACGGGGGCUCACACAAGCGGUGGAGGAUGUGGCUUAAUUCGAGGCUACGCGAAGAACCUUAUCCUAGUCUUGACAUGCACGGAUUAACUCCCUGAAAGGGGAGCCACGCCUUCGGGUGGAACGUGCACAGGUGCUGCAUGGCUGUCGUCAGCUCGUGCUGUGAAGUGUCGGGUUAAGUCCCUUAACGAGCGAAACCCUUGUCGCUAGUUGCCAGCGAGUCAUGUCGGGGACUCUAGCGAGACCGCCGGUGUUAAACCGGAGGAAGGUGGGGAUGACGUCAAGUCAUCAUGCCCCUUAUGUCCAGGGCUACACACGUGCUACAAUGGCCGGUACAAAGAGCUGCAAAGCCGUGAGGUGGAGCGAAUCUCAUAAAGCCGGUCCCAGUUCGGAUUGGG